rnacentral:snRNA from 1 species
GAAUGAUUUGCCCAUGAUAUCUGUCACCCAAUGAUUACCAGAGUUGAUUAGGCUAAGCCCCCCCGGCUGACCUAGGGCCACUUCACCCAGAGCUCCUUGUGUGACCCCUCCAAACCUGCAUACUUGGGUUGAGAAGACAAUUUCCAGGGAGAGAAAAACUGAUUUUUGAUAAGGGAUAUAAAUGAGGCUGCGCUCCCCUGCUAUCCACUUUAAACAAGCUAGCAAGUUCGUCUACUUAUAGUGGUACUACAACUAUGAAAGUAGUCAUUUUAAAAUUUAUGUUUAUUAAAUAUUUUUCUUU